CUUCAACAAUAAGAUAAAAGAGGAAGAAAGGAGAACUGACAUUUACAUAUCUUGCAAUUUCAGGUAUGAUAUCAUGUUUGCUCAUGAGGAUAUUACAUCGCUCUCGUGAAGCUAAUAUGCUGCAGCCUAUGAUCUAGAUUUCCAAUGUACAUACAGACAAUGACUAGUCGUGAGUGUCUGAUAAUGCCGUGAUCAACAAUGCGUGUCGAAUGUAUCGGAAUUCCGAAGAUCGUGCUACGGGGGAGAGAGAGAGAGAGAGAGA